rnacentral:rRNA from 1 species
GAUGAACGCUAGCUACAGGCUUAACACAUGCAAGUCGAGGGGAAACGACAUCGAAAGCUUGCUUUUGAUGGGCGUCGACCGGCGCACGGGUGAGUAACGCGUAUCCAACCUGCCCACCACUUGGGGAUAACCUUGCGAAAGUAAGACUAAUACCCAAUGAUAUCUCUAGAAGACAUCUGAAAGAGAUUAAAGAUUUAUCGGUGAUGGAUGGGGAUGCGUCUGAUUAGCUUGUUGGCGGGGUAACGGCCCACCAAGGCGACGAUCAGUAGGGGUUCUGAGAGGAAGGUCCCCCACAUUGGAACUGAGACACGGUCCAAACUCCUACGGGAGGCAGCAGUGAGGAAUAUUGGUCAAUGGGCGAGAGCCUGAACCAGCCAAGUAGCGUGCAGGAUGACGGCCCGUAUGGGUUGUAAACUGCUUUUAUAAGGGAAUAAAGUGAGUCUCGUGAGACUUUUUGCAUGUACCUUAUGAAUAAGGACCGGCUAAUUCCGUGCCAGCAGCCGAC